GAGUAACACGUGGGCAACCUGCCUGUAAGUUGGGGAUAACUCCGGGAAACCGGGGCUAAUACCGAAUGAUAAGAUGUGGCGCAUGCCACGCCUUUGAAAGAUGGUUUCGGCUAUCGCUUACAGAUGGGCCCGCGGUGCAUUAGCUAGUUGGUAGGGUAAUGGCCUACCAAGGCAACGAUGUAUAGCCGACCUGAGAGGGUGAUCGGCCACACUGGGACUGAGACACGGCCCAGACUCCUACGGGAGGCAGCAGUAGGGAAUCUUCCGCAAUGGACGAAAGUCUGACGGAGCAACGCCGCGUGUAUGAAGAAGGUUUUCGGAUCGUAAAGUACUGUUGUUAGAGAAGAACAAGGAUAAGAGUAACUGCUUGUCCCUUGACGGUAUCUAACCAGAAAGCCACGGCUAACUACGUGCCAGCAGCCGCGGUAAUACGUAGGUGGCAAGCGUUGUCCGGAUUUAUUGGGCGUAAGCGCGCGCAGGCGGUCUUUUAAGUCUGAUGUGAAAGCCCCCGGCUUAACCGGGGAGGGUCAUUGGAAACUGGAAGACUGGAGUGCAGAAGAGGAGAGUGGAAUUCCACGUGUAGCGGUGAAAUGCGUAGAUAUGUGGAGGAACACCAGUGGCGAAGGCGACUCUCUGGUCUGUAACUGACGCUGAGGCGCGAAAGCGUGGGGAGCAAACAGGAUUA
rnacentral:rRNA from 1 species